AGCAUUUUUUCUCUCUGCUCGCUGUGAUCACUGGAUUGUUGCUGUUUGCCCUCUGGGAGAGUAUUUGGUGGAAGAGCAGCAGCAUUUGCUAUAAUGGAGUAAGGUUUAAAGCAGUGGUGUUUGUUUCCAGUAAUUUUCCACUCGGAAGCCUUAUCAUGCACUAGCCGCCGGUUUUGAGCGUCUCGUCGUGGUGCUCGGGUGCCCCGAUGAAGCCUCCRCUUCCUUCCUUUGUUAUCCCGGCACGGACGGGCCGAAGGGCGGAUAUCCACGGUCCCUGGACAGCGGGAUAAGGCGCAACCUCUGCAGACUAAACACGAGAUAAGAGCCACGAGCGGGAUUUUCCGACGGGGAAGCGCCGCCGGAGCGUCGCUGCCGGAGCACAACAGCAGCCUGGACCCACCAAGGGCGGCCUCCGCGGUGGCUCUGGAGGACAAGGACGAGGCAGCACUCAAGUACUCUGCCGAAAGACCUAUUGCACUAUUCAACCCAGUCCUUUAAUACUAAAUUGCUAAUUACAAYCCUUUAAUACUAAAACGUCGCUGCUUCUAUCUCUUUUGCUGAAAAAUGAAUUUAACUCUCCCAUGCUGGAGCAAGAGUGGAAACGGGUGCUCGUUUUCUGCAGCCCGUGGCCUUGCACGUGGCUGAUGAGCAGCAGUUGAGAGAAUAGUGAGAGAUAUUGGCAUAAUAUCGUAAACAGAAGAUGAGCUUGCAGCAGAAAUCUGCUUUUCCUGUGAGGCURAUUGUUCUCAUUAUAGGAUUAAACUGAUAGAUUUCCUGUCAGAAGCAGAGCCUGAAAGAACAAAGUGAAAACCUCUGGCAUAAUGAGUCAGUGAGCCGAGCAGCUGAACACUGAGCUUUUUUUUAGGUUAUUUUCUUGUGAAUCAUGACAGAUGUCUGCUGUUAGGGUAGUCUGCAAACAAAUUUGAUGCAUUCUUCUUAUUAUUACUUCAUACAGUGGAAAACCAGCUACUGUACCCAUUCAGCAGGACACGUUUCUAGCCUCUYCUUGGGGUUUUGGUGUUUAUCAUCCGAAUUAUCGACUCCAUCAAAGCAAUUUUUCCUUUUUUGGGUGUUGCACAGCUACAGCACGCAGACAACUGGAGAGGCUUAGGCUGAAUGUUCCUAAUUUAUGCAGGUCAAGGAAAGUUUGCCUUUUAUCUUUCGGAGAUAAGGACAGCAAACUCGCUCUUUCUGAAAGGCUGAGUUCCACGGAUGCCAUCACGGAYGUUUACGUAGGUGGAUUCCCAGAAUCUUUCCAAUUCAUUUCAGACUAUUGCACAGCCUUAAGCUGAUGGGAGCAGAGACACAAAAGGUGUCCUGAAGCAGGAGGGAUAAGUGCACUGCCUUAUCCAUGCUGUGCAGAGCUCGUUUGCCCAGCUCAUCAGCCUUGCACCAUGCAAAGACCAUCUCCUCUGCAUGUAGGGUGCCUGCCAUGGAGCAGGUCUGGUGCCAGCAGUGCUCUGCAGAGACGCUGUGCUCUGCAAAAUGUUGUCUGCAAAUUGUAAACUGCACCCAGGGCAAGGACAAACCCAGCCGGAUAAAAUUGUUUGGGGUGGAAGAAUGGGACAUAAGAUAUACAAUGUAGUUCUUAUCAUAGAUCCUCCUCCCUCUACCCUUAGGCUAUUCAUUAUCUUUUAUAAAUAUUUAUGUUCUUUAUAGUCACUGUUCUUAUGCUGAACAGAUCAGUGAUUUUAGCCUUUAUUAAUAUAUUCCUACAGGUUUUCCAGAGGAGAUUCUGAGUAGCAUUGGCUUGUUCUCCUCACUUUUCGCAGACCCCAUAGAAGCUGCCUACAGAGGUACAUAUGUCUUCAGAACACAGGUGAAAACCUCUAAUAUAGAGAAAAAAAAAUGAGCACUUAUUUUUCCCUUGUGUGAACUAAAAUAUGCCCUAGAAGUAGAUACAAAAUGCAGUGUGUAUUUGACAUUGCUUAUGGGUAUGAAAAGCAUGCUUAAAACUUCCAAUUCUACCUGGAAAAUUCCUAAUUAAUUCAAUGGACUUUAGUUUAUGCCAGACUUUUUUGUUAUUUUAAAGAGAAAGGUGGUCUGAGGCGUCCCCUCCCUCUCAGAGCCUGCAGGAAUUAAGAAUCUGUGGUGUCCAAAUCCUACCAGUUCUGGGAGUGAAUCCCCUGGGCAUCAUGUCAGACCUAAAGCAAUGAAAAUGCAUGCAAGUUUUCAAGAUAAUCUAAUCCUUAUGGCUACUUUGAAUGAGUAUGUUUCUAGCUUAAUUCUCUGUUAAUAUUCCCUGAUCCAGUUUUCAACUGGAAAGGAAUGGAGGUGACACU